AUUGAACGCUGGCGGCAUGCCUUACACAUGCAAGUCGAACGGCAGCGGGGACUUCGGUCCGCCGGCGAGUGGCGAACGGGUGAGUAAUGUAUCGGAACGUACCAUUGAGUGGGGGAUAACGUAGCGAAAGUUACGCUAAUACCGCAUAUUCUCUCCGGAGGAAAGCAGGGGACCGCAAGGCCUUGCGCUCUUUGAGCGGCCGAUCUCAGAUUAGCUAGUUGGUGAGGUAAAGGCUCACCAAGGCGACGAUCUGUAGCGGGUCUGAGAGGAUGAUCCGCCAGACUGGAACGUAGGUACGGUCCAAACUCCUACGGGAGGCAGCAGUGGGGGAUUUUGGACAAUGGGGGCAACCCUGAUCCAGCCAUGCCGGGUGAGUGAAGAAGGCCUUCGGGUUGUAAAGCUCUUUCGGCCGGGAAAAAAUCGCAUGGGCUAAUACCCUGUGUGGAUGAUGGUACCGGAAUAAGAAGCACCGGCUAACUACGUGCCAGCAGCCGCGGUAA
rnacentral:rRNA from 1 species